GUCACUUUGCCGGAGUGGUUAACGGGAUCGCCUGCUAUACGUAGCUUUCAGCGGUUGGUCUAUGACCGCGUGUGUUCGACUCACACAGGUGACG